GAAAGAAAGGUUCUCUUUCAAAGUCUGGCAGCAUCAAAAUAAAACAGUGCUAUUACAGUUCUGCUACUGUUAGAUCAUGUAGUAUUUGUGGCUUAUUGUAUGCAACAGAAGUAUUAACUGUACUG